AUUGAACGCUGGCGGCAUGCCUUACACAUGCAAGUCGAACGGUAACAGGUCUUCGGAUGCUGACGAGUGGCGAACGGGUGAGUAAUACAUCGGAACGUGCCUAGUAGUGGGGGAUAACUACUCGAAAGAGUGGCUAAUACCGCAUGAGAUCUACGGAUGAAAGCAGGGGAUCGCAAGACCUUGUGCUACUAGAGCGGCCGAUGGCAGAUUAGGUAGUUGGUGGGAUAAAAGCUUACCAAGCCGACGAUCUGUAGCUGGUCUGAGAGGACGAUCUGCCACACUGGGACUGAGACACGGCCCAGACUCCUACGGGAGGCAGCAGUGGGGAAUUUUGGACAAUGGGCGCAAGCCUGAUCCAGCAAUGCCGCGUGCAGGAUGAAGGCCUUCGGGUUGUAAACUGCUUUUGUACGGAACGAAAAGCCCUGGGUUAAUACCCUGGGGUCAUGACGGUACCGUAAGAAUAAGCACCGGCUAACUACGUGCCAGCAGCCGCCGUAAAAC
rnacentral:rRNA from 1 species